rnacentral:rRNA from 1 species
UAACUGGAGAGUUUGAUCCUGGCUCAGAAUGAACGCUGGCGGCGUGCUUAACACAUGCAAGUCGAACGAGAAAGGGAUUGCUUGCAAUCCUGAGUAGAGUGGCGCACG